rnacentral:lncRNA from 1 species
UUUUAUCCAAACAAACUUAAUUCAUAUCAACUGAUAAAUGUUCCAUACAUAAGGGAAUAAUCUCAAAUUUAUGAAAACUAGCCUAAACAUUGGCCGCCCUAGCAAGAGUCUGAGCAACCAAAUUUGUUUGUCUCUAACAAACUUAACCUCAAAGUUUACAUAAGAAGAUGACAUAAGAAGAAUAAUAUCGUUAACAAUUAAACUAAAUUCUAAAUUACCCCGUCUUCUCGAAUGGAUAGCGUCAACCAACAACUUUGAGUAACUUUCAAGGGAAAAAGUACUUUGAAUCAGCCAACAUAAUAUUUUUAACUACUUAUU